rnacentral:lncRNA from 1 species
UAUAACGUGAUAUUUUUUUACAAAAAUAAAUAAAAAAUAUUUUUUUACUAUACAUAAUGUAUUCUUUCUGUAAUCUAAAUAGACUUUUAGGCAGCGUUUGGUUAGGGAAUAGGAAUAGGAAUAGACCCUUAUCCUCCUUUUAUAUCCAAACGCUAAUUUUUUAUUCGAGAAUAGUAGUUUCCGGUUAUCCUCACCAACACUUCUAUUUUCUAUAUAGAAUUACCUAAAAUUGUUCUUAUUUUCGGAAACAACCCAAUUUUCAUCCAAACAUUAUUUUUCUUAUCCUCAUACUUGUACCUAUCCUUGUAAUAGCUAAUUCUUUCUUAUACCGGAACCAAACGGUACCUUAGACAACCAAUCUUGACGGCUAAUUAGAAGAAGCCAAUUUUAAGAGAGUUU